AAUCGGUUCAAUCGGUUGAACCGUGCACGACCGGUUUGUUGCAUAUUCGCCAGAAUUCUGGCAACAUUCUUGGGCCAGUCGGGGGGAAAAUCUGCCAGACGUCUUGCGCAGCUAAGUGCAGCGCCCAAGACAAAACGCCCGCCAGGCGCUCCCCUUUUCCGUCUGGGUUGUUGAACAUGUUCUACACUCAGCCAAAAUAUCUUUUGGAAUUCAUAUGGCAAACCAUAUAUACGUCGAAAACAUUCUCAUUUUUACAUUUCAUAUGCUUAACAUAUGGCUUAUGAUAGAUUUUAUUUAAUUUAUAAGGUUCACUUAUGACAUUCAUUAAUGUUGUUUAUGUGAAAAAGUCAUAUGGUAAACCAUAUAAACAGUAAAUGUACUAUGACGGAGCACAUCAAACAACUGGCAAAGCAGGCUCCAGCAUAUCUCAGGUUUGUUGAACAGUUUUAUGUUCUUCGUUUGUUUUUAAUUUUCAAUUCGGUUUGUUUUCAAGUUUUCAGAAAAAAACACCUCGCCUGGAAAUGGACCAGUUGAAAGUUCGUCGGGGAAAGUCUUCUGUGAAUUCAAAAAUCUUUCGCAGUUGUUCCCGGGCCGGCGGUCAAGUGGUGUCCGAAAUCGAACGCCUUCCACCGAGGGAAGGUUUUAGACCGGCGUGGAAGGCACUACUUGACCAAGCCUUACAAGGAAGUUCAGUCCGUCGCGGAGGUUGUUCGAUGAUCGUCGUGCCUAAGGUUGUGCCUCACCGGAAGUAUUCGUUACACUUCAGACGGCUCAACCCAUGACCAACCGGAACAGUGUGCAAAUGCGACAGUCAAAUCUGGUGGAGUGUCAGUAUGUCCACGGCCGCCGGUACCAGAGUAACCCGAGAUGAGCUUCAAGUUUGGGGGAAGAAAGAUCAACAGCAGCAGAGUGCUGAAAAGUAGAUCGUCAAAUCGGUAAGUUUGAUCAAAUUAGCUUAGAACUUUUGAAUUACCGUCUUUUUUCAUUUCUUUGCAGUCAUCGGAAGCAUCUCAAGCCCCUAAACCUGCUGAGAUCACCUCUUCAGAAACCUGUCUCACGGGGCUGCGGACAGGCAGUCGAUGAAACGCCGAAAACAUUGACCGCUCGAUGCUAAACCGCGUGAAAAAAGUGAGCGACUACAAAGCCGAUGAAGGUUGAAGGACUGCGAAGGCGGCCCUCCGGCGCGGAACGCAUCACCCGCUAGGAAGGCAACUUUGGCCACGAAGUUCAAUCUUCACAGUCGCGGCGGGCGUUUCCGGAACGCUGACCGGCCGUAAAUAGGACUCCCCCGAAGAAAACUGUUAAGACGACGAAACCUCGCCAGAAGAGAUGUUGCGAAUGUUGUUAUGUAUUAUAAUUUGAUUGAAAUAAAUUUUGAAACUCUGGCUAAUUAAAUUUUGUAGCAUUUAAAAGGCGGAAAAAUCUCGGGAAAAAUCAUAAGUUUGUCAUAUAUCUACCAAAAACUAUAGGCUUCUCAUAUAUAAAUUAUAUACGGUGUGAUUAUGAAAGCAACAAUUUAUCAUAUAUUGCGUCUAUAAGGUUAUCUUAUGGAAAAAAAUCCAUUGAUUGAUCCUAUAAAAUCUAUAUGGUUUGUGUAUGGAAAAAAUCUAUAAGGUAUCCUUAUGGCUGGUAUGGAUUGUUUUGGCUGAGUGUAGCUGUCAAAACUGUGUAAAUUUUCAACACAGAUCUGUGUAAAAAGUUACACAGAUUUUCGAUCAGCUUCCCUUUUAAAUCUGGGUAAAAAAGUGUUGGCAUUUUUUCAGCAGUCAGAGCAACCAGCAGUUAGCAAAGAUGGCGGGUAAUUUUUCGAAAAAAUAUUACAUGAAUUGCUUUUAUUAAACAAGUCAACUUUCCAGAUAGCGGACCUAUUGCACUGGAAUCGUUGCCGUAUCCUAGGAAUUGUUAGUUGGUCAAGAGUCGGCGGAUGAUGCGUUGAUUGAAUGAAUGAUGUCAAUGAAGCCAAAUUCCUGCGUCCGAAAGCCUAGAUGUGCAGGCCCUGAAGUGGAACGCUCUGCCAGGAACGUAUACAUCAUCGCUCCAAGAAAACUAGAUCACUUUCCGGGACCAAACUAGCUCCAACAUCGUCCAAUAUGAUAUCUACCGAAAGAUGUAAAAUAAUUCAGCGACAGACACUGUUGAACAUCAAUAAACAUCAAUCUUGUUUUAUUUUGAUUUAAUUAAAGUAUUUAAAA